AUAGAUGUCCUCUAGGACAGGUCUGUAGGAGUGGAUAUUGUGUAAGAGGUUUUUACAGAUGACGGAAGCAGAAACUCAUUGGCAAAGGAAGAAAAAGAAAGAAGGAUAUUAAAAUCAAAAUCUAUGUCUUACAAAAAUAAAAGUAUGUUUGAUGCA